AUUUCAUGGUGUGGGCAUUGGGUUAAAAUGUUCUUGAAACGAUCAAAACACUUUCAGAAAGACUCACCCCCAAAUUGAUAAAAUUGAUUAAUUUCAUUUCUUAACUU